rnacentral:rRNA from 1 species
ACGGGUGAGUAACGCGUAUCCAACCUGCCGUCUACUCUUGGACAGCCUUCUGAAAGGAAAGAUUAAUACAAGAUGGCAUCAUGAGUCCGCAUGUUCACAUGAUUAAAGGUAUUCCGGUAGACGAUGGGGAUGCGUUCCAUUAGAUAGUAGGCGGGGUAACGGCCCACCUAGUCUUCGAUGGAUAGGGGUUCUGAGAGGGAGGUCCCCCACAUUGGAACUGAGACACGGUCCAA